AUUGAACGCUGGCGGCAGGCCUAACACAUGCAAGUCGAACGGCAGCACAGAAGAGCUUGCUCUUUGGGUGGCGAGUGGCGGACGGGUGAGUAACACGUAGGAAUCUACCCAGUAGUGGGGGAUAACCUGGGGAAACCCAGGCUAAUACCGCAUACGCCCUGAGGGGGAAAGCGGGGGAUCUUCGGACCUCGCGCUAUUGGAUGAGCCUGCGUCGGAUUAGCUAGUUGGUGGGGUAAGGGCCCACCAAGGCGACGAUCCGUAGCUGGUCCGAGAGGAUGACCAGUCACACCGGAACUGAGACACGGUCCGGACUCCUACGGGAGGCAGCAGUGGGGAAUAUUGGACAAUGGGCGCAAGCCUGAUCCAGCCAUGCCGCGUGGGUGAAGAAGGCCUCGGUUGUAAGACC
rnacentral:rRNA from 1 species